rnacentral:misc_RNA from 1 species
AGAUUAGGAUUGAGGGAAUUAACAGUAUAAAUAGGAGAAUAAUGGAAAAAGUUAUUUGGCUUUGGCUGUUGCCCAUUGCAGAUAGGGGCUUUACCAAUUGCUGAGGAUUUAGCUUUACUCAUUGAAGAGAGUGGCUUUGCCCAUUAAUGAGAGGCUCCUGCUCAUUGCAGUCUCACGAAAGGAAAGAGACUUUGGUUUAUGAUAGAGAGAGGACACAUAAUUCAAGAGGAAGAGAUUCUUGUCCAUUGAUGAGAGGGCUCUUGUCCAUGUAGUUAAAGACACCUCUUGUAGUGUAGUAGUUAAAGUAGUAAAUAUAUUAGGUUAUGUCUAGAGGAAACUAAGAUGACUAAUUAAUUUAUUUACUAUAAAUAGUUAUGUAAUGUGGAUUCUCUUAGGUGUAAUUGGGUUGA